AGCAGCCGCGGUAAUUCCAGCUCCAAUAGCGUAUAUUAAAGUUGUUGCAGUUAAAAAGCUCGUAGUUGAAUUUCGGGAUCAAAGGAUCGGUCAUGCCUUGGUAUGUACUGGUUUUAUUGGUUCUCACCUUCUAAAGAACCAUAAUGUCAUUCAUUUGAUGUUAUGGGGAAUUAGGACUGUUACCUUGAAAAAUUAGAGUGUUUAAAGCAGGCUUACGCUUGAAUACAUUAGCAUGGAAUAAUGAAAUAGGACAUCAGAUUCUAUUUUGUUGGUUUCUAGGAUCGAUGUAAUGAUUAAUAGGGAUAGUUGGGGGCAUUAGUAUUCAAUUGUCAGAGGUGAAAUUCUUGGAUUUAUUGAAGACUAACUACUGCGAAAGCAUUUGCCAAGGAUGUUUUCAUUAAUCAAGAACGAAAGUUAGGGGAUCGAAGACGAUCAGAUACCGUCGUAGUCUUAACCAUAAACUAUGCCGACUAGGGA
rnacentral:misc_RNA from 1 species